UACGUAGGGAGCAAGCGUUGUUCGGAAUGACUGGGCGUAAAGGGUGCGUAGGCGGUUGUACAAGUUAGAAGUGAAAUACCCAGGGCUUAACUCGGGUGCUGCUUCUAAAACUGUAUGACUUGAGUGCAGUAGAGGUUAGUGGAAUUCCUAGUGUAGCGGUGGAAUGCGUAGAGAUCGGGAGGAACACCAGUGGCGAAGGCGGCCUACUGGGCUUUAACUGACGCUGAGGCACGAAAGCGUGGGGAUCAAACAGG
rnacentral:rRNA from 1 species